rnacentral:rRNA from 1 species
AGCCUGAUGCAGCAACGCCGCGUGAGGGACGACGGCCUUCGGGUUGUAAACCUCUUUUAGCAGGGAAGAAGCGAAAGUGACGGUACCUGCAGAAAAAGCACCGGCUAACUACGUGCCAGCAGCCGCGGUAAUACGUAGGGUGCAAGCGUUGUCCGGAAUUAUUGGGCGUAAAGAGCUCGUAGGCGGUCUGUCACGUCUGCUGUGAAAACCCGAGGCUCAACCUCGGGCUUGCAGUGGGUACGGGCAGACUAGAGUGCGGUAGGGGAGAUUGGAAUUCCUGGUGUAGCGGUGGAAUGCGCAGAUAUCAGGAGGAACACCGAUGGCGAAGGCAGAUCUCUGGGCCGUAACUGACGCUGAGGAGCGAAAGCAUGGGGAGCAAACAGGCUUAGAUACCCUGGUAGUCCAUGCCGUAAACGUUGGGAACUAGAUGUGGGGACCAUUCCACGGUCUCCGUGUCGUAGCUAACGCAUUAAGUUCCCCGCCUGGG